GAUCCUAAGAGUUUGAGGUCAGCCUGGGCUGCAGUCAGACUGCCUCAAAGCACCAAACGGGCUGGGGACAGAUUUCAUUUAGGAGAGUGCUUGACUAACACGUGUGAGCCCUGGAUUUGACUGACAGCAUGGAAUAACCAGGUGUGCCGUAGCCUGAGUGCCAACCUAUUACCAAAAUCAAACCAAGUAUCAGAGGACGAUAAAAUAGGGUAAUAGGGCCACCCCCGCCUAGGUUUUGUUGCUGGACUCAGUGGUUUAGGACAGAGAGGGAUUCAACACAGAUGUGUAAUACAUUGAAAUUAACAUAUUAACUAUCACUUUUAUUAUUGUCCUGGUGCCGGAUGGGCUUUCUGAAUCUGUUUGUGAGUAUUAUAAUAAUGCGUUUGUGUGGGGCUUGCUAGGCGAGCACCACAGGUGUGGAAGCUCGCUCCUAUUUAUUUGCAAACCACCUCUCUUCCUAGACCCUCAUCACUGUGUCCCCAGGAGAGAGGAGAUGAAUGAAGGAAGAAAGAACUCAUCCAACACAAUACCAUCUGUGUUGGUGGAGACACUGCCUUCCUGAAGCUUGCAAACUCCCCAGUCCCCACAGCCACUGAGGUACCUCUUUUCCAUAGAUAGUUCUGAUCACGUGUGUGCAACUUAUCUUCCCUACACAGACCACCAGCCUGGCCCAACCCCCCUCCUCCAGAUCUACAGCUGUUGCUGUAAGGGAUGAGAUAGCUGGACAGCCAGCUUGGUCAUUCCCAGAGCCCUGGGCCGUUAGACUGCCUGCCUUUCAGAGGUAUGGGACUCUGGCUUCCCACCCCCAAAUGUGAGACCAUUUUCCCCAGAAUCAGGAGCAGGGCUGGGGUGCUACUGCCUAAGUCUCCUUUGUGAGCCACCUGUCCUCCCCCACAGCCGCAGGAGCCAGGCAGCAGCCUCUCCCUGUACUUUCUUGGCUUGCCUCUCCGACAGGGCCACAUUGGCAUUCCGCUCAGCCUCAGCUGCUGUCUGCUGGGCAAUCAGCCCCAGGGGUGACUUUUGUCCUCUGGUUGGACUAGCCAGGACACCCCUGAGAGCCAGGGGCACCAGGUGGGCUCCUGCAGGGAAGGAGAAGCACCCCAUUUCGGUGAUGAGGCCAGGCAGAGAGAAGCAAAAGGGAGGGUGAGGCUGAGGGUUAGGGCAGUAGAUCUGUACCUCAGUGAGGGGUAGUGGGGGAGGACAAGCUAGUGUCUGUAAGGUGACAGAUGUAUCACAAUUGGGGCAGUAAGCAGAAAAGCAGCUCUUGGAAGCAGGGGUGCUGCAGGGAUGAAUGUCAGCUCUCUGCAGUUAGGGUGACAAGCCCGACCAACCGAUUGCAGAGAUGAAGGGAAAGGACCAUGACAUGUGGGGUGCCAGGUUCAGCAAGCACUGGGGGCCUCAAUCCAGAGGCUGACUUCUCUGCAGUUGAAGGACAGUUGCCAAGAUGAAGAAUCUUCUGGGUAACUAAUGGGGACAGAAGGUGGGCUGCUGCAAACUACUUGGCACACCGAGAGUGAUGAACCCCUGGCUUUGCCUGUUCCCCCAAGGGCCCAGAGUAAAAAUUCUGCAUAAAUCCCCUUGGCUCCCACCCCCACCAGCCCUCAGCCAUUGCCAGUGACCCUCUGCAAGCCAGGUCUCCAUGGUGAUCUCAGCCCAGCAGGCGGUUCCUGCCAGAACCUUCCCAUGGUGCCUGUGGCCAGGCAGCAGAAGGCUUUCUCACCCUCAGCUAAGCUGCCCAGAGCACCUUACCCUUCCCUCCCACGGCCUUCCCAGCUUCUAGGACUUGGCCAGCCAGAGGCACAAGCAGAAUCUGGGGGAGGGUAGUGGGUGGGGAAGAAUCAAAGGCUAGGGCGGGGGUGUUCUUCAUGCAGGGAGAGUGUUAUGCUGGGCGGAACACAGACCUAGCUAGACUCAAGACCUGAAAAUGGAACCAAAUACUAAGUGCCAGGCAGCCCAGCUGAGGAGUUAGGAACAGGCAGAGGCCAUAAUAGCUCUGGCUCCACCCUAAAAAGCCUGCUGGGAUGGAGGGACAGCAAAGCAGGCAGGCCCUGACCCGGGUAAUCUGCAGGUAGAUGGUGGUGCCAAGGCAAGUCCCGUGGGGCUCAGAAAGAGGCGGCACACUAAAGCCAGUCUGGGAAGGAAGACUGUAGCUCUCAACUUACUGCUGAGGACAGCGCUCAGCAUGCUGGGACGGAACAUGCAUGCGGACCAAUGGCGGUACCAUGACUGAUCUAAGGCUGGUCAGCAUGUCAGCGUCCAGCUCCGCUCUCACAUGCCUCUAGGAUGCCUCCUUAGAACGCCUUGUUACCAUAGCUACCAGAGCACUUGCCAUUCCCCAUUCUGCACUGCUCUCUCGGACCUGUGUGUGGUACCUCUCUCUGAACCCUCAGUUCCAGGAUGCACCCGGCUCCAGGACACAAGCCACAUCAGCAAGACUUAACCUUCUAGGGCGCCCACAAGGAAGCUUAGAACCACACCCACCGAACCCUCGCUCUAACAGCUCUAGCAGUUUUAGCGACCUCAGUGGUCUUUGCCUGGGGGUAGAGACUCAAAGUGCUAGGGAUUAUAAAGAAAUCAAGCUUCCCGGAGAGCAUUCUCUCCACUCCUGCCUCCUAAUAAGCAACCCUGUACCACACCCACUUCCUGCUAGGGCAUGUGCUAAGGCUUGACCUCCACUCCCUGGUCUAUGCCUCCAGAAGCGGAUUUCAAUGUCAGACACAGAAGAGAGAGGCCCUUCCCCCUCUGAGCUUCCUUUCUCUUUCGGAAAAGCAAAGGGCUUGGACAAGUAAGUGAUGAGACAGACCUUUAGGUGCUGCAGACACAAGGGUCAAAGGACAAAUCGGUCUCCUGAAGACUAAGCUACUUCAUUGGCAUUUUCAUGUCAUUGCAGGCCUGAGGUACCUCAAGUGUGCUAGACAUUUCUGUGGGGCUCAAACUACAUCUGACAGGCAGCAAUAACACAAGGGGUUCAGUGAAGGGUCAUAGGAGGCUUCUAACUGAGACCAAAGGGGUCAGGGGUACAGAGGGUGUGUGUCUUCCUUCACUUUUUUUUUUCUUUUUUUUCAGAGCUGGGGACCGAACCCAGGGCCUUGAGCUUCCUAGGCAAGCACUCUACCACUGAGCUAAAUCCCCAACCCCCUUCCUUCACUUUUUAAAAUCUGUGCCUUGAACUCUGGCUCUGAGAACCUUCCUUUGCUGUAGGACACAGAGACCCACAGAACUUUCGGGUGGGACUAGACAGGCUUCUUACCUGCAGGCACCCAGCCUCCCCAGCAACUGCUGUGUGCACACAUCUGGUCCUGAGGUAGAAGUCCUCAUCCCCACACUUACUUACAUCUGUACACCUUUACCCAUAUAGAUGUCUCUCUGUGUGCCUCCCUCCCCGGAAGAGGCCUCCCCCUCUGAAAGCCACCUGGUCCUGACAACAGGCUCGCUGACACCCCCCCCCCCCACACACACUGUCCUGCUUUUAGGAUUACUUCCUAAAGAUUUAGGCACUGAGCCCUCACCCCUCUUUCUUUUUUUGGAGACAGGGUCUCUCUCUAUGUAUCCUCUGCUGGCCUGGAACUCAGAGCGCACAUACUUCUGUCUCUAGCAUUCUGGGAUUAAAGGGGGCACUGAGCACCACGUUCAGGAAACCGCCCUUUCCUCUCUGAUCUCCCAGUCUAUUUCUUGUUCUUCACAUAGACACACGUGUGUACAUGUGUGCGCACACACACUUGACAUAUCCCCUAAAUGAUGAGACAGAUGUGAGCAGGCUAAAGAAACUGAUGGUGUGCUGGGGACAUCUUAGAAAGGGCAGAGACAGGCGGGAGAACACGGUGGGUAAGAGAGGGCAACCCAAGCUAGGGCACAUUCUGUAAAGACUUCUCUUGUACUCCCUUCCUGACUCGGCUGUGUGUGCGUGUGCACAUGCGUGUGUGUGCACAGGGCUGAGACAGAGGUAGAUGCUGGCACAGAAGCCCAGAUACCCUCUGCACCAUGGCAGGCAUUCAGGUCUGUGUUCUGUAGACAGGAAGGCUGGAGAGGAAGGAUGCAAUCAAAAGGUGUGAAGCAAGCGCAGAUGUGCGUCAAUCAAUUCAUCCAAUAAAUAUUUUAGGGGCUCCAAACACUGAGCAUCUAAAAACGCUGAGCAGCAAGCACUUUGGUGGCCACCGCGGGCAGAAUGGACUGGGGUGGGGUGGGCCGGAGACGGAGUGGGGCUCUAGCUGCUGAAUCUCCAAUCUCUCAUUUGUUAGGCUCCAUUUCCAGCCUCAAGGAAGUCCCUGCUGCCUGCCCUCCCUCCUCAGGUGGCUCACAAGGGCUGGUGAGGAGGGUCCAGUACCUCCCUAGAGGGUACUCGGGCAGGGUUUGGAACAAACACAUUAGGCUGCUGAGCAGUGCUGUUUGGGCAUGGGAUACUGGCCAGGGCACGGUGGGCUGCCAGUUCACGGGGGCUGGACAAAGACUUCAUCUGCUUCUCCAGCGCAGGCAUUGCAGCACCAAAGGUGACAGUGACCGAGCUAUCCAGGGAGACCCAUAUGCACUAUAAAGUUAUAAAGAAGGUUUUCAGAUGCUUUGGGUGUGGGGAAGAAGACUCUGAACUGUGUGGACAGGGACCUAGCUGACCCAGGUAACUUCUGGAGGUGCCUAGGAGUAGGGCUGACCUCAUCUCCACAUCCCUACCUCUUCCCAGGAGGACUUGGUCCAGUGGCUAAUAUAAAAACACUGUGAUCACUCUGUCCACCAUUUCCCCAGGUGUGGGAAUGGAAUCCAGGGCCUUUUGUGUGAACAGUAGGCAAACACUUUAACAAUCUGCUUUAUCUCCAGCCCCAAGAAGAAUCUCGAGCUUUCCAAAUGCUUGAGGGCCACACCAGAACACAAGGCUCUUGUAGCAGGGAGCAGGCAACAGACACAGGAGGGCUAGCUUUGGUCAAGCAAAGGUCAGGGACGAGGGUUGGAGAUGUGUGACUCACACUGCUUGAAUUAGGGACCCAGAACUCAGACCGUGGGAAGGUAUUCAUCCACCCAUCUACCAUCCACCAACUAGAUGCUUUCCCGUGAGCCAGGAUGGGGUAAGGGCUUUACAUGUCAAUCCCCUUAAUUCUUACAAGAGAUAGAGAUGCGGUGAAUCACCAGGUUAUGUGAGUCACCAGAUCACCUAGUUGGUAAGGGGUGGAACCAAGUUGCGCAUAGGGGCCUGUGUGUAGCCACAGACAUGCACUCCUAGCCACUGCCUGCCAGUUUUAGAGGUCUGCUUUUACCAGGAAUGUGGGGUGCAGAGAGAGGAGCAGCAGCGGAAGGUAUGUUCAUAGAGAGAUGGCAUUUCCAAGAAGCGGGGGCCUUAAACAAGAAGGCCUAGCCUAAAUAUGGCUACAGGGAAGGCAAGCAGUAGAACUAGAGGGUGACCUCAGAAAAGGGAGAAAAACCUGGUGCCUGGAGGAAGCAGGGCAAGGCCGGCUGAGGCCUGACAUGAGACCUCUUGCUCAGAGCCAGAGGCAAGAUCAAGUGACCUCUUAAGGAUUCAAAACUCAGAGAGACAAAGCCCAGAGCAGCCAGGCCUGGGCAUGCCUGCUGACCCUGCUGGAUGGUGGCCUUGGAAACUGCCUACUGUUCCGGUCCAGCCCCAGCUGGUGUAACCUGGGAGGACCUGUGACAUUUCUCUUGGCCUCACGUCUACAGCCAAGACCUAAUAGGGAAGAGAGGCGGAUUAGAGAUUCCUGAAUGUAUCUGGUCCCUUUCCACCUUCUCAUCUCUACUCCUGGGGUCUGCUGUGGCUGGUCUUUGGUUCAAGGGUCCCAGUAUGGAGCUAAGUCUGUGUGGGUCUGCUUUUCAUUUAGGGGAUCCAAAAAGAUGCCUGUAUGGGCCCAAGACCCCCUUCCUUUCACCUAUCUCUAACUGUCCUAUCAGGUACAGUUCUCAGCAGAGGCAGGACACACAUUCCCAACUGCCUGAUCUUUCACCUCCCAACUCUCCGGGGACAGAACUUGCUUUUGCCCUUAGUUCCCCUGCGCAGUGCCUUUCCCUGGCUUCACAAUCUCCCCUCUUCAAGCUCAGCUUCUUACCCCAAACCCACAUAAGUCAUUUAACUUUCUGGUACAUGCCUGGAAGACCAGCACUCAGCAGGCUGAGGCAGGAGGAAGCAAGUUCCAGGUUAGCCAGGGCUAAAACAUAGCCAGAUGUCUCACAAAAACAACUCCCAGGGUUUGCCUUACGUGAGCUAUCAUUUUGCAGACAGGGAGCUGGGGAUGUGGGUGAAGAGCAGCCCUGCCUCCCUGUUUCCUUAGCUCUCCAAUGAAAGCUUAGAACAUAUUCUCUGCCCAGGAUGUUGUGAGGACCCUGGGGCAGUGUCACACACAGGGACAACACACACGUGUACAGGACUUCUCAGCAUAAUGCCUGGUACCUGGGGUGCAAUCCUUGCUUCUUUCCACCUCUGGGCACCCGCCAUCUCCUACCAGCUGUUUACAGGUUCCCUGUGUUCUUGUUUUAAAGUUCCCAGGUCAGUGCUGAACUCCCGACAAGAGUCUUGUCUAUUUUGUCUCCUCAGAACCUGCCACAGAAUGAGCUCGAAAGAGCUGGAGUGCUGCUUCCCCAAUGCCUGUUAGAGCUGCUCACUACGUGUGGCCAUGGCCCAAAUUGCUUGCAGGUCUUCUGUCCUGUGUACAUACUCAACUCUUCCUGGGCCCCGGCAUCCAGGUCCAAGAAUGAUGCUGAGGGAGAAACAGUGUCAAGAAUGUGGAAAGGGACAUUCUCUUGCACCCCUCACCUUCCUCAGUCUCUGAAGUUCCCGUCUCUCCUCUUGGAGCCCUGUCCACUUCACCUUCCUAGGAUUUAUCACAACUGUAAUCAAUUACUUGUGUGACUGGCCAUUUAGUGUGUGUGUCUCCCUUGAGACUGUGGGCUCUUCAGGGGCAGGGAUCGCAUCUGUCUUGUUUACUGCUGUAUCCUCUGACCCCAGAGCCUGGGCUAUGGAUGCUACGUAAAUAUUUACAGAGUGACUCUGAGCUGGUGGGGGGAGCUGGGAC